rnacentral:rRNA from 1 species
GUCCUCUUGUUUUACAUAUGAGGUCUGACCUGCCCAGUGAGAAUUAUUUUAACGGCCGCGGUAUUUUGACCGUGCAAAGGUAGCAUAAUCAUUAGUCUUUUAAUAGGAGGCUGGAAUGAAGGGUUUGACGAGGUAUUGACUGUCUCAUUUAAUUUGAAAUUAAAAUUUAACUUUUCAGUUAAAAGGCUGAAAUUGUAUUGGAAGACGAGAAGACCCUAUAGAGCUUUAUAUUUAAAAUUAAUAAUAAAUUUUUGUUUAUUAUUAUUUCUUAUUAUUUUAAUUAUUUUGUUGGGGUGACAAAAAUAUAUAAAUAACUUUUUUAUUUAAAUAACAUUGAUUUAUGAUUAUUAGAUCCAGUCUUAUUGAUUGUUAGAUUAAGUUACCUUAGGGAUAACAGCGUAAUCUUCCUUCAGAGUUCAUAUUUACAGGAAGGAUUGCGACCUCGAUGUUGGAUUAAGAUAAUAAUUAGGUGUAGCCGCUUAAUAUAUAGGUCUGUUCGACCUUUAAAUUCUU